CAGUCAUGCCAGUGAGAAGUCAGCAAGGUGGUUUACUUCCUUGUGUACUUUCUUUCGGCAGGUUAGCAUCAAUUUUGGUUGUCAUCAAAUAAUUGGGGGAAUGUGUCUUCUCUUCGGUGAAGUGUUUAUAGACCCUGGUAGAUGUGGCGACUGGGAUUGAGGAUUGCAGCGGAUGCCUUUGGCUAGUCACCUAUUUCNGACUGUCACCUCG
rnacentral:rRNA from 1 species